rnacentral:RNase_P_RNA from 1 species
AGAGUUGGCUGGGCAGUCGCUGUUUUAUUGUCAAAAUAAAAUGGAGGAAAGUCCGGGCUCCAUUGGGCAGAGUGCCAGGUAACGCCUGGGAGGCGUGAGCCUACGGAAAGUGCCACAGAAAAUAAACCGCCUGUUAUUUAUUGAUAGGUAAGGGUGAAAAGGUGCGGUAAGAGCGCACCGCGCAACUGGUAACAGCGGUGGCAUGGUAAACCCCACUCGGAGCAAGAUCAAAUAGAGGGACAGACGCGUGGCCCGCGCGGUUCCUGGGUAGAUUGCUUGAGCUGUAAGGUGACUUGCAGCCUAGAUGAAUGACUGUUCACGACAGAACCCGGCUUAUAGGCUGACUCUUUCU